rnacentral:lncRNA from 1 species
GUUUAAGCUAAUAAAGAGAAAAAUAUCUUAACUUUUUAGUUUGGACCAUUUUUUGUCACCGAAAUCUCUACCGACUAGAAUCUCUAGCAGAUAGCAGUUAGAUUUUAUUUUCUAAUUUUCGAGUGUCGGAAUGAUAUGAAACUUUAAAUCUAGUCUCAUAAAAAUAAUUCCGACAUAUUCCCAAAUUUUUAUAAUUUUCUGACACUGUGAAUUUUCUGCUAAAAUAUCAGCGCCGUUCUUACAGAAAAUUCUAAAUUUUCUGUUUCCGAUUUCAUCACAAGUCGUUUCCGACUUAAAUUUUACUUCUUUAAGUCCAAUAAAAAUAGUAUCUCACACUAUUUUUAUUUAUAUUUACUUUUAUAUUAAAAAGUCGGUACAUUAC